UAAAAGAUAAGCUAACUAAGCUGACGGGUUCAUACCCCUUUUAUGGCCCUGCCUCUUUUAA
rnacentral:tRNA from 1 species